AUAGAACGUAGCGAAAUGCGAUACGUAAUGUGAAUUGCAGAAUUCAGUGAAUCAUCGAGUCUUUGAACGCACAUUGCGCCCCCUGGUAUUCCGGGGGGCAUGCCUGUCCGAGCGUCAUUGCUGCCCUCAAGCCCGGCUUGUGUGUUGGGUCUCGUCCCCCUUCCCGGGGGGACGGGCCCGAAAGGCAGCGGCGGCACCGCGUCCGGUCCUCGAGCGUAUGGGGCUUUGUCACCGCUCUGUAGGCCCGGCCGGCGCUUGCCGAUCAACCAAAACUUUUUUCCAGGUUGACCUCGGAUCAGGUAGGGAUACCCGCUGAACUUAAGCAUAUCAAUAAGCGGAGGA
rnacentral:misc_RNA from 1 species